UUGUUAACUUUUGGGUCUCCGUAUUCCUGCCUCCAAAUCAAGAAGACGAAGCUCUCUAUCUCAACAAUCGUAUUGGCAGACCUUCCAAUAGAGAUCCACAAUAUGAGAAGACUGGUAGGUUAAAAAGAGAAUCGGAUGUGUAUAGUUUUGGAGUUGUAUUGUUUGAAAUUCUAUGUGGGAGGAGAGCCAGUGACUCAAUUUACAAGAAGAAGAAUGUGAGAGGGUUAGGUCGUGUGGCAAGACAAAGCUUCUGCAUGGGAACACUAGAGGACAUGAUAGAUCCUAUAUUAAAGGAAGAAAUCGGUGAAAACAAUGUCGUUCUAAAUAAAGGACCCAACAAGGAUUCUUUGCACACAUUCAUCGAAAUUGCAUAUCAAUGUGUGGCGGAAACUCAAGACCAACGUCCUACAAUAAAAGUCGUUGUCAAGGAACUUGAGAAAGCAUUAUUAUUUCAAUUGAAUUCAGAGGUUAAAUCUGAUUACGUGGAGGAGAAUAGUCAUGCUUCCAUAAUUGAGACGCAAGUAGUUGAGCUUUCUAGUGAAUUGAACAGUAUGAACACGACUGACAAAUCUGAAAGUUCUGAAAUUCAAAACCAAAGACUCAGCUGAAUCUGAAUCUGGCUGUUGUUGGCCAUGUGGAUUCAGGAAAGUUAAAGACUCUCAGGAAGGCUGCUACACAUUCUCAGUCAAAUAUCUCAAAAACAGAUACACAAAUAUGAAAAUGAGGCUAAGUUGCAGGUACUUUUGGUUGUU